rnacentral:sRNA from 1 species
UAUUAAAAAUUUAAGCCGAAGACAGUAGGCGGGCGUAAGCCCUUAAUUUCCUACCGAGGAAUUAGAAAGAUAGAGAUCUUCUUUUGCCUUGGUAGAAGAAGAUUUUUCAUUUU